rnacentral:rRNA from 1 species
GGUAUUGAAAUAAGAUUUUAAUUGAAUGCUAAGAGAAUGGAAGUUCAGAAAAAAACUUUUUUUAAAUUAAAAAUUGAAGUUUUUUUAAUUUGUGCAGAAACAAUUAUUUAUAUUAAAGACAAGAAGACCCUAUGAAUUUAUUAAAUUUUUAUUUAAUAUGUAAUUACUAUUAAAAAAAUUUUGGCUGGGGCGGCUAGAAAAUAUUAUAAACUUUUUAAAAAUAAAAUGAUCCAUUAUUAAUGAUUUUAUGUUAAAUACUCUAGGGAUAACAGCGUUAUAUUUUUUGAUAGAUCAUAUUGACAAAAAAGUUUGCGACCUCGAUGUUGGAUUAGGAUACUUUUUUAAUGAAGAUAUUAAAAAAAGAAG